ensembl:rRNA 5S_rRNA 5S ribosomal RNA
GCUUACAGCCACACCACCUUGAGCACGCCUGAUCUCGUCUAAUCUCGGAAGCUAAGCAGGGUCGGGCCUGGUUAGUACUUGGAUGGGAGACCGCCUGCAAAUAGCAGGUGCUGUAAGCU